GUUGUUGUUUGUUUUGAUAUGGCCAUGUUUUGGGUGGGAGGUGUUUAGGCGUUGAGAGACGUAUGAAAUGUGUCAAAAUAUCGUAAUCCUUGGUAACGAAUUUCGUCGCGGUAAUUGUACGUGUCGAGGAGGGCCGGGUGUCAGGCAGACUUAACGGCCCCGGGCCGCCCGGGGCCCGAGCGUACCCGAGAGCCUACGAGGUAUGUGCAAGCCGCUCGAACCGACUCCGUGUAGGCACGCUGAAAUUCAAUGAUUUUCUUCGCCGAACGCAGAGGCUAGGUGUGAAAUAUGGUAUGACUCUGAUUAGUGCAAGGUGUCGAUUUUAUUAUCUUGUGAUGAUCGCAUUGAAGUUGUCAAGUGACCUGUGGCCCACAAGAGCAGAAGGGGUGAAUAAUUAAUGAAGGGUCCCCGUCGAGCAGCGCCUUAGUAGCAGAAGAUGGAGUGAGCAAGUUACUUUAAUUAUCAGCUGUUGGAUUUUAUUUUGCAUUGAACGCUUUUUGAUGAGUGUAUGUGUGUUCCGUAUGAAAGUAUUUAAUACUCUUGAGGGUUAGAUCGACAAAGCUUUGAUCUCUCUCUUACUGGACUAUACGAGGCUAUGAGAAUCACUAGUGGGCUGAACACUGUUUAUUUGUUAUAUGCUGGUAUCUGGUGUCAGAUAUGGAAGGCAAAUUAUGAUAAGAUUUUGCAAGACUUUGCAAGUCUCCAACAGUUUGCAUUUUAAUGUGAUUGGCUCAUUUGUUUUGAAAUCUGACACUUGGUCACCAGAUGUUAUUGAUGCGGGGAAGGAUUUUGUACAAGGUCUCUGAGAUGUUCUUCAAUCUUGGUUUACUUAGUUGGCACAUCAGAGUUUGGAGCAGGAUACGAUCUUUGCUUGUGGCAAGUAAUUUGGAGCGCGUCAGAAAUUGUGUGAAGACGUUCAAGACACAUUAAUAUUACUUGUGAGAACUGAUGUGGUGUUCCAUUCAUUGUUAUUCAGCUUCGGUGUCACUGCCUGCACAUUGAUGGAGUAUUUACUGGUACUAUGCAGAAACAUUGCCAUGGUGUUGAUGGGAACUGAAUGACUGAUUUGCCUUCAAUUUUAACUACACUGGGAGCAAGAAGUUUCUGACGCAAAGCGGCUACAUUUUGUGUUUGGAGGGGCAGGCUGAGUUGGGGUGUCGCUGUUGGCGUUUUAGCGUUAAUUCGGGCUUGGGAUAAUCAAUUCCGGUUUAUCUUCCGCCAACAAAGUUACGUUAGGCUUCCAGUUCUCCUAGUGAUAAAUCUAAAAUGCGGGUUUUAAAA